GACGAACGCUGGCGGCGUGCUUAACACAUGCAAGUCGAACGGAAAGGCCCUGCUUGCAGGGUCCUCGAGUGGCGAACGGGUGAGUAACACCUGGGUGAUCUGCCCUGCUCUUCGGGAUAAGCCCGGGAAACUGGGUAUAAUACCGGAUAGAAGCUAUUUUUAGUGUGAUGGUUGGAAAGUUUUUUCGGUGUAGGGUGAGCUUGCGGCCUAUCAGCUUGUUGGUGUGGUAAUGGCCUACCGAGGCGGCGGCGGGUAGCCGGCCUGGGAGGGUGGCCGGCCACAGUGGGACUGAGAUACGGCCCAGACUCCGACUGGAGGCAGCAGUGGGGAAGAUUGCACAAGGGGAGCAAGCCUGAUGCAGCGACGCCGCGGGGGGGAGAACGGUCUUGGGGUUGGAAACGCCAUUCGCUAGGGACGAAGCUUUUUGUGACGGUACCUAGAGAAGAAGCACCGGCUAACUACGUG
rnacentral:rRNA from 1 species